UGAAUGGGUCCCGUUGCUAAGGCGACGGGGUUUCAAAGGCGAGGCGCCGGCAACGGUGAAUGCGAUGCUUUCAGAAGCGGACAGAAGCGGUUGGAGUCUGGAGGAGGGAGCAGAUGAAAAGUUACCGCAGAAGAUGAAACAGAGGAUUUCACUGACGUAGCAGAGGGCCCA